rnacentral:rRNA from 1 species
AUUGAACGCUGGCGGCAGGCCUAACACAUGCAAGUCGAGCGAGCGGCGGACGGGUGAGUAAUGUCUGGGAAACUGCCUGAUGGAGGGGGCUAACUACUGGAAACGGCAGCUAAUACCGCAUACCAUCAGAUGUGCCCAGAUGGGAUUCGCUCGUAGGUGUGGUAACGGCUCACAUAGGCGACGAUCCCUAGCGGGUCUGGGAGGAUGACCAGCGACACUGGAACUGAGACACAGUCCAGACUCCUACGGGAGGCAGCAGUGGGGAAUAUUUCGGAAUGGGCGCAAGCCUGAUGCAGGCAUGCCGCGUGUGGGAAGAAGGCCGUCGGGUUGUAAAGCACUUUCAGCGGGGAGGCGUUACCCGCAGAAGAAGCACCGGCUAACGCCGUGCCAGCAGGCGCGGUAAUAC